rnacentral:rRNA from 1 species
UACGUAGGGUGCGAGCGUUGUCCGGAAUUAUUGGGCGUAAAGAGCUCGUAGGUGGCUUGUCGCGUCGGAUGUGAAAGCCCGGGGCUUAACCCCGGGUCUGCAUUCGAUACGGGCAGGCUAGAGUUCGGUAGGGGAGAUCGGAAUUCCUGGUGUAGCGGUGAAAUGCGUAGAUAUCUGGAGGAAUACCGGUGGCGAAGGCGGCAUCCUGGACCGACAUUGACGCUGAGGCGCGAAAGCUAGGGGAGCAAACGGG